AACGUAGGACACAAGCGUUAUCCGGAGUUACUGGGCGUAAAGGCGUGUAGGCGGACCUAUAAGUCUAUUCUGAAAGCUCCUGGCUAAACUGGGAGAGGCGAAUGGAGACUGUAGAUCUAGAGUGAGGAAGAGGAAAGUGGAAUUCCGCGUGUAGUGGUGAAAUGCGUAGAGAUGCGGAGGAACACCAGUGGCGAAAGCGACUUUCUGGUCCUUAACUGACGACUGAGG
rnacentral:rRNA from 1 species